ensembl:lncRNA
CGGCGAACGCGCAGCUCCAACCACGACAAAACUGACGGAGUGACGAAAAGUUUUGCCAGACAGAGAAAGAAACUUUCUGUAACAAGGUGACAGCACUCGAGGCAGGCAGCUGUCCAGUCUGCGGACCGUCUCCAGAGAGAGAAAGGGAGGACAGGAAAUAGAGAGGAAAGACACACAGAGCGCGCGCGAGAGAGAGAAAGGAGGAAAACGGAGUACCCAGAGGAAACCCCUGAAGCACGGGGAGAGCAUGCAAACUCCACACACACAGGGUGAAGGCGGAAAUCGAACCCCCAACCCUGGACGUGCGAGGCAAACGUGUUAAUCACGAAGCCACUGGUCACGGGGAGCCUGGAGCCUAUCCCAGGGAGCAUCGGGCACAAGGCAGGGUGCACCCUGGACAGGGUGCCAAUCCAUCGCAAGCAAGAUAAUAUUAAAAUUGUUAUUCUUUUUUUUUUUUUUACCUUUGCAGAGACAGGAAGUUAAAGAUAUACAGUGCCCCCCACUAAUAUUGGUCUUUAUUGUUUAACCUUUUGAUCUUUUGUUAAAAAAAUUCACAAAAAUACUCUCAUGGAUAUCAGACAAUUGCAAACACAACACAGGUUUAUUAAAAAAAAAUCUUUGUUAAAUAUAGGUGUGAAACAAUUAUUGGC